rnacentral:rRNA from 1 species
UACAGGGGGGGCAAGCGUUGUUCGGAAUUACUGGGCGUAAAGGGCGCGUAGGCGGCCAACUAAGUCACACGUGAAAUCCCCAGGCUUAACCUGGGAACUGCGUGUGAUACUGGAUGGCUUGAAUUCGGGAGAGGGAUGCGGAAUUCCAGGUGUAGCGGUGAAAUGCGUAGAUAUCUGGAGGAAUACCGGUGGCGAAGGCGGCAUCCUGGACCGCAUUGACGCUGAGGAGCGAAAGCCAGGGAGCAAACGGG